rnacentral:tRNA from 2 species
AUUUAAAUAACUUAUAUAGAGUGUAACAUUGAAGAUGUUAAAGAGAUUGAUUUAAUCUUUAAAUA